GUGAAAGCCCCGGGCUUAACCUGGGAACGGCAUCUGAUACUGUUAGGCUAGAGUAGGUGAGAGGAAGGUAGAAUUCCAGGUGUAGCGGUGAAAUGCGUAGAGAUCUGGAGGAAUACCGAUGGCGAAGGCAGCCUUCUGGCAUCAUACUGACACUGAGGUUCGAAAGCGUGGGUAGCAAACAGGAUUAGAUACCCUGGUAGUCCACGCCGUAAACGAUGUCUACUAGUCGUUGGGUCCCUUGAGGACUUAGUGACGCAGCUAACGCAAUAAGUAGACCGCCUGGGGAGUACGGCCGCAAGGUUAAAACUCAAAUGAAUUGACGGGGGCCCGCACAAGCGGUGGAGCAUGUGGUUUAAUUCGAUGCAACGCGAAGAACCUUACCUGGUCUUGACAUAUCUAGAAUCCUGCAGAGAUGCGGGAGUGCCUUCGGGAAUUAGAAUACAGGUGCUGCAUGGCUGUCGUCAGCUCGUGUCGUGAGAUGUUGGGUUAAGUCCCGCAACGAGCGCAACCCUUGUCCUUAGUUACCAGCGGUUUGGCCGGGAACUCUAAGGAUACUGCCAGUGACAAACUGGAGGAAGGCGGGGACGACGUCAAGUCAUCAUGGCCCUUACGACCAGGGCUACACACGUGCUACAAUGGUAGGUACAGAGGGCAGCUACACAGCGAUGUGAUGCGAAUCUCAAAAAGCCUAUCGUAGUCCAGAUUGGAGUCUGCAACUCGACUCCAUGAAGUAGGAAUCGCUAGUAAUCGCGGAUCAGAAUGCCGCGGUGAAUACGUUCCCUGGGCCUUGUACACACCGCCCGUCACACCAUGGGAGUUGACUGCUCCAGUAAGUGCUUAGCUCAACUCAGUAGGAACAAGGUCACCCCUAGAGUG
rnacentral:rRNA from 1 species